rnacentral:tRNA from 1 species
ACUAUUUUGGCAGAUUAGUGCAAUAAAUUUAGAAUUUAUGGAUGUAAUUUUUAUUACAAAUAGUAUUGUUGAAUUUAGAUUUAUUUAUUUCUUUUGUGGGUAGAUUAUUAUUAAUUGUUUGUGUUUUAGUGGGGGUGGCUUUUUUAACAUUACUAGASCGUAAGG